rnacentral:lncRNA from 1 species
AUGGAAAGUAGACAACAAUGGCUUACCAGGCUGAAAAAUGAACUUAGCAACAGUCCUCUGGUGUCAAACGUGGCAUUUGGCUUCAUCCUCAUGGGACUAGAGAAGCUGGUGGAGCUGGAGUUUGAGUGUCCUUGCAGCCCUACGUGGAAUGGAGUGUUUUCAUCAGCGUUCUUCAUCAUCCCCGCCGUGAUGGCCUUCACCUUGAUGCUGAUCAUUCAAGGAUGCAGGUGUGACAUGUGGUGCAGGAAAACGGUCUCCCUCUCCAGCUUCGUUCCCGCGAUCGUCUGGCUGAUUUUGCUGUUUCUCGACGGCCAGUACUUCGCUUGCGCUAUGACAGACUGGGAGGGUAGAUUUGUCCUAGUGGACAAGGCUGCGCCGCAGAAGUGGUGUGAGCCAAUUAGUGAGGGCGCUGUCACGCCACAAGAACUGAUGCUCCGCUCCCAGCAGCUGUUCGUCUUCUCUCAGGUUAUAGGCAUAAUCCUCCUCAUUUUCAUCUGUGUGGGUCUCGUAGUGUAUGUAAUCAGAGAAAGCUGCCAACGGGAGGUGGAGAUGCAGGAUGCAGACGUAGCAGAGCUCACCGUGCUCAGGAUGAGCUCUCUGCGGACCAGGACGUCGUGAGAGGACCUGACCGCCCACCUCAGCCGCCUGCUGCCGCCACGGACGCUUUGUAAAUACCCCGAGCAGACAGAGGAGUUGUUACGCUCCCUGUGGACAAUUGUGAAAAAUGAUGCUGAAAUGGUUGCCGUGAAUAUGGAAAUGAGCAAAGCUGGAGUUUGUGUUUUUUUUCUGCCCACUGGUCCAAAUGUGAAGCUACAGCCUGUUAGCUUAGCUUACCACGAAGACUUGAAACAGGGAAUAACAGCUAGACCGAGUUCGUCAGGAGGCCACAAAACGUACCAGCCAGCAACUGUAAAUAAUUCACGCGUCUUUAUCAAAUUUAUGCAGACAUUUUCUCAGCAGGCAGCAGUUGCAAGGCAACCCCCAAAGACUGUGGGAAGCACUGCUUCCACCCAAGAACUAGUCAACAAUGUUUGGAAACUUUUUUUAUAUAUUUUAUAUCAGCUUGUGAAAACUACCAGGCAGCUAAUAUUGAUCUGAGAAGUUUUAGUUGAAUAGAACAAUGGUUUGUGUUGUGUGUGCCAAACUGAAAAUGUGUCAAAUUACUUGUUUUUGUUUUCCUUCAUGAAAACCAAAGAGUUGGAUCCUCAUCUAAGGAUUCUGAACCAAUUAUCCAAAGGUUGCUCCUGUGUGACAACUCUAGAUGUCAUAGGACUUUUUUUUAUCAUGGCUGCAAUCAGCCAAAAAUCGAAUUCACAAACAAAGUCUAUUGCUGUAUGUUUGUUUCAUAAAUAUUUUGUAAUAAAUGAAUUUAUU